rnacentral:rRNA from 1 species
CGCGUAGGCGGUUAUAUAAGUCGGGUGUGAAAGCCCCGGGCUCAACCUGGGAACUGCAUUCGAUACUAUAUAACUAGAGUUUGGUAGAGGGAAGUGGAAUUCCACAUGUAGCGGUGAAAUGCGUAGAUAUGUGGAGGAACACCAGUGGCGAAGGCGACUUCCUGGACCAAAACUGACGCUGAGGUGCGAAAGCGUGGGUAGCAAACA